rnacentral:lncRNA from 1 species
UUACUGGGAAAGAACAAGUCUACAAAUUAAAGAAGGCUUUAUGUAGCGUAAAGCAAGCUUGGGGGGCGUGGUACAACAAAAUUAACUCAUACUUUGUUUUUAAUGGCUGCGAGAAAAGUAAGAAUGAACCUACUUUGUGCUUUAAAAAGCAAGGUAAAAAUGACCUCAUCGUUGGCCUUUACAUUGAUAACAUGGCAUACAUGGGUUCUUCUUCUUUUCUUAUUAAUGAACUUAAAUUGUGCAUGAAAAGAAAGUCUGGAAUGUCAGACUUGGAUUUGUUGCAUUAUUUUCUUGAGUUAGAAGUGAAGCAAGUUGUAGAUGGAAUAAUCAAGUUGCAGUAUUGUAAUACAAAUGAGCACGUAGCUGACAUUUUUACGAAGUCUUUGCCAGGGACAAACAUGUUUCUUUCAGAGAUCAGCUUGAUGUAUGCAAUUUUGAAUAAGGGAUUUAAAAUAUUUGACUGUUGCAACAUUUACUUAGUUCGUAGUUUGUUUCUUUAUUUGUCUAAGUUCGUUGAGAUGUGAUUUAGUGGAAGAGUUUUUUUUAGUACGACGUAUUGCUUUGUAAAACCUAUAUAAAGAGCUUAUUUAUCCAUCUUUAAGACUAUUUCAACAUAUUUGUGCCCAUCACCUGUUUGUUUUAAUUCCUCUUAAAAAUUUUCCCACUUCCUUUGCAAUUUUAAACACUAUUUUUAUAUUUUUAUACUUUGAAUUCUCUUCCUCAACAGGUACAACAUUUUACAAUUCCCGAAGAAGUUGUAUCACCAUGGUAUGAACUGGUAAGUGGGGAGCCAACAAAUGGUUUCUCAUUUUGUGGUACCAAAAACACUCUUAGGG